GUGGGGAAUAUUGGACAAUGGGCGCAAGCCUGAUCCAGCCAUGCCGCGUGAGUGAUGAAGGCCCUAGGGUUGUAAAGCUCUUUCACCGGUGAAGAUAAUGACGGUAACCGGAGAAGAAGCCCCGGCUAACUUCGUGCCAGCAGCCGCGGUAAUACGAAGGGGGCUAGCGUUGUUCGGAAUUACUGGGCGUAAAGCGCGCGUAGGCGGACUGAAAAGUUGGGGGUGAAAUCCCGGGGCUCAACCUCGGAACUGCCUUCAAAACUAUCAGUCUGGAGUUCGAAAGAGGUGAGUGGAAUUCCGAGUGUAGAGGUGAAAUUCGUAGAUAUUCGGAGGAACACCAGUGGCGAAGGCGGCUCACUGGCUCGAUACUGACGCUGAGGUGCGAAAGCGUGGGGAGCAAACAGGAUUAGAAACCCGUGUAGUCC
rnacentral:rRNA from 1 species